rnacentral:rRNA from 1 species
GUGGAUUAGAUACCCCAGUAGUCCACGCCGUAAACGAUGGAUGCUAGCCGUUGGCAGGCUUGCCUGUCAGUGGCGCAGCUAACGCUUUAAGCAUCCCGCCUGGGGAGUACGGUCGCAAGAUUAAAACUCAAAGGAAUUGACGGGGGCCCGCACAAGCGGUGGAGCAUGUGGUUCAAUUCGAAGCAACGCGAAGAACCUUACCAGCCCUUGACAUCCCGGUCGCGGGAACGAGAGAUCGAUCCCUUCAGUUCGGCUGGACCGGAGACAGGUGCUGCACGGCCGUCGACAGCU